rnacentral:lncRNA from 1 species
GAGAUCCUGCAUACCUUUUACUCAAGUUCGACCAGUGGUAACAUUUUGCAAAACUAUAAAUUCAGUAUCAUAGCCACGAUAUUGAUAUUUAUAAGCAAGAUACAUAACAUUUCUGUCACCACAGGGAUCGCUCAUGUGGCCCUUUUGCAGCCACACCUACUUCUCUCUCACCUGCAGCUCCUCCUUAACCCCUGGAAACACUAAUCUGUUCUCCAUUUCUCUAACUUUAUCAUUUCAAGAAUGUUAUAUAAAUGGUAUACAGAGAUACCAUUAGGUAAAUAUAUACUCAUCAUAAUUCUCUGAAGAUUCAUUCAGGUUGUUGUGUAAAUCAUUUGUCUGUUGCUUUUUAGUGCUGAGUAUGAUUCCAUUUAACUGUUAACUCACUGCAGGACACCAGGUUGUUCCAGUUUGGGGCUACUGUGAAUAAAGCUGUUAUACACAUUAACAUGUGAGUUUUUGUGUGAACACAGAUUUUCAUUUAUCUCAUAUUAAUGUCCAGGAGAAAAAAAUGUGGGUCAUACUGUAGUUGCAUGUUUAAUUUUUAAAGAAAUUAUGACUUUUCAGGGCAGUUGUGCCAUUUUACAUUCCCAGAAGCAAUGCAUCAGUAACUCAGUUUCUCUGUGUCCUUGCUCGCAUUU